UGGGGAAUUUUGGACAAUGGGGGAAACCCUGAUCCAGCCAUCCCGCGUGUGCGAUGAAGGCCUUCGGGCUGUAAAGCACUUUUGGCAGGAAAGAAACGUCAUGGGUUAAUACCCCGUGAAACUGACGGUACCUGCAGAAUAAGCACCGGCUAACUACGUGCCAGCAGCCGCGGUAAUACGUAGGGUGCAAGCGUUAAUCGGAAUUACUGGGCGUAAAGCGUGCGCAGGCGGUUCGGAAAGAAAGAUGUGAAAUCCCAGAGCUCAACUUUGGAACUGCAUUUUUAACUACCGGGCUAGAGUGUGUCAUGGGGAGGUGGAAUUCCGCGUGUGGCAGUGAAAUGCGUAGAUAUGCGGAGGAACACCGAUGGCGAAGGCAGCCUCCUGGGAUAACACUGACGCUCAUGCACGAAAGCGUGGGGAGCAAACAGG
rnacentral:rRNA from 1 species